GAUGAACGCUGGCGGCGUGCUUAACACAUGCAAGUCGAACGGAAAGGCUCCUGCUUUCAGGGGUUCUCGAUUGGCGAACGGGUGAGUAACACGUGGGUGAUCUGCCCUGCACUUCGGGAUAAGCCUGGGAAACUGGGUCGAAUACCGGAUAUGACCACAUUUUGGAUGGUGUGGUGGAAAGUAUUUCGGUGUGGGCUGAGCUCGCGGCCGAUCAGCUUGUUGGUCGGGUAAUGGCCUACCAAGGCGUCGACGGGUGGCCGGCAUGAGAGGGUGUACGGGCACAUGGGGCCUGAGAUACGGACCAGACUCGUAUCGUCGGCAGCAGGGGAGAGCAUUGCAGAGUGGGGCCGCGUCAGUUGCAGAGACGCCGCGUGGGUGAUGCCGGCUUUCGGGUUGUAAACUCCUUUCGCUAGGGACGAAGAGCAAGUGACGGUACCUGGACAAGAAGCACCGGCUAACUACGUG
rnacentral:rRNA from 1 species